UACGUAGGGUGCGAGCGUUAAUCGGAAUUACUGGGCGUAAAGCGUGCGCAGGCGGUUAUUUAAGUCAGGUGUGAAAGCCCUGGGCUUAACCUAGGAAUUUGCGCUUGAGACUGGAUAGCUUGGAGUGCGGCAGAGGGAGGUGGAAUUCCACGUGUAGCGGUGGAAUGCGUAGAGAUCGGGAAGAACAUCGGUGGCGAAGGCGGCCGAG
rnacentral:rRNA from 1 species